UUACGGUUAUAUCACGUUGAAACACUUGUUUUCAUGCAAUCACUGAAAUUAAGCAAUGUUGAGCCUGGUCAGUACCAAGAUGGGUGACCAUUUGCGAAUAUCAUGUGCUGUAA